GAUCUUGGUUCAGAACGAACGCUGGCGGCAUGGAUUAGGCAUGCAAGUCGAACGGGAGCAGCAAUGCUCCAGUGGCGCAAGGGUGAGGAACACGUGAACAACCUGCCUUCGAGUUGGGGAUAGCUUCUGGAAACGGGAGAUAAUACCGAAUAACAUCACCGGAUCGCAUGAUUUGGUGAUCAAAGCAGCAAUGCGCUUGAAGAGGGGUUCGCGUCCCAUUAGCUAGUUGGUGAGGUAACGGCCCACCAAGGCGAUGAUGGGUAGCUGGUCUGAGAGGACGACCAGCCACAUUGGGACUGAGAUACUGCCCAGACUCCUACGGGAGGCUGCAGUCGAGAAUUUUGGGCAAUGGACGAAAGUCUGACCCAAGCAAUGCCGCGUGCGGGAUGAAGGUCUUCGGAUUGUAAACCGCUGUCAAGAGGGACGAAAUAUGACGGUACCUCUGGAGGAAGCCACGGCUAACUACGUGCCAGCCGCCGC
rnacentral:rRNA from 1 species